UGGGGAACUGUGAAUUAACUUGAACCAGGAAGGGAUCUGGGACAGAAGUUUGACUAUAAACCAGUUUAACCUAAAUCAAUUAAGUCUGAUACCUCAUCCAACCAGGUUUAUCUUAAACCAGUUUUGGUCAUUUUGAAAGUAGUGUAUGUGCACUGAAUUUCUGUUCUGUUACAGGUUUAAACCACUUUCUGAUCACUUAAACUGAUCUGUAUGUAACUUCUGUGUCUAGCCCAGAGGGAAAAUAAUAUUUUGCUUUACUUUGGACAAAAAGUUUCCUGUCUCAGGAAGUAUGUUAACAUGUUGAGAUUGAAGUCAUCAGAACCUAUCAUGAAGCCUUUAUAAGAGUGACUCUAUCAGGGGGAAAAAAGAUGAGGGAAUAUUGGAUGGUCCUCAUCCACAUGUGGCAUGCUGAUUUCAAAAUAACUAAUCAUACCUUACCUAACUAAUCAUACCAUACUGAAUUCUAAAUUAACUGUUACAUCUCAGGGAAGGGAUUUGAACAUUGUGGACAGCUGCAGUCAAAAAAAGCUAACAAAGUUAAAGUAUAUAAAAAUGAGAUGAAGAAUAAUAUGGAAACCAGUAUAAUGCCAUUAUACAAAAGUCAGUAUUUUGUCUCCAGGUGGAAAUAUUGCAUUCAGUGUCUAAUAGUCCACCUAAACAAAAGAUGCUGCAGAAUUAGAGAGAAAUUCAGAGUUGAGAAGGGCAAUAGAAACAUUUUCCUAUUAAGAGAGAAAUUAAAAAGACUGGAAUUGUUUAGUUCAAAGAUGAGAUUAAUUAGAAGGGACCUUAUAAAAAUAUGCAAAAUAAUUAAUUACUGCUACUGGUAAGAGAGAUUAGGUACUUUUAGUUUUCAUCCCCUAGUAGUAUAGGAACAAAGGAAAGUGAAAUUGGAAGACAAUUCAAAAAUGUUAAAAGGAAAUACUUUUCCCAUGUAACAAAUAAUUAGAGUGAAGAACUCAUUGUCAUAAGAAUGGAUUGAGUAAAUCACUUAUCAAGAUUCAAAAAAGGGAGUGCACCUUUAUCCAGAGUUAUAGUAGUUAUUGCAUAAAACAAGGGGCAUUCAUUCAUAUGCUUCAAGGAUAAAGCCAAUCUCUUUUCAAGGUUAAAGAGAGAAUCCUGUGGGGAUAGAUUAGCUCACAUUUGCCUACUGAAAAUUCUCAUAGUCUUCUAUAAACCAUCCAGCACUGGCUACUACCAGAGACAGAAUACUAGACUAGGUAGAAUAAAUAUUUCUAUGAACACUUCAUUGAUAUUACAAAGGGCACAGCUACAGGUCCUGAUCUAAAGAUGAAAGUCAGUCGAAGUUUUGCAUUUGAAUUCAGUAGGUUUUGGAUCAGGCCUCAAAUGAGUCUGCUGCUAUGAAUUUCUGUGAUUUGUGCAGAAGGAUUUAAAUCCCAGUCUCUGCAUUUUUUAAUGUAGUUUUUGUUUAUUAGUAUUUCAAAGCUACUUGUCUUUGUUUUUCCCUUGAGACCCAUAAUGGAAAUAGUAUUAAAAAAACAUGAUAGAAAUGAAAUUUGGAAGUAAAAUGUACCAGAAAAAGGAACAAUAUUAAAUAAGGGCAUUACCCAAAAUUAAACACAGUUAUGGAAAGCUGCCAUCUGAGGAGCUGACUUGUUCACAUCCAUUAUUCAGAAAUCACUUCUGAGCUGGCAGAUGCCUAAAUGUGUGAUAGUACUUCACAGUAGACACAGAUACAUGAAAGAACUAUUUCAGCUGUUUGAGCAAUCUGUUUUGUAUUGAAAAGCUUUUUCUUUUUUAUCUUUUGGCUGCUAGUUUUGGUGAAAUAUAGGAACAGAAUUUAAAUGCAAUCAUGACAUUACUGGAAACAUUGCUCAAAAGUACCCCAAACAAGAACAAACUGAGGUGAAAAAAACCUAAAAUAGAAAACAAAAUAAUUCAGUUACCCCACUUGAUCCCUUCUAAUGAUGUCUAUCAUACAGAAAACCCCAUUAGCUAUUUAAAAUACCCAUAGCGUCAUUGUCUUCCAUCCAAGGUAGAGAUGUGAAAGCUGUCUAUGCGGGAAUCUAAGUUCACUUGGACAGCCUGGGUGCCAUGACACCCUGGGGUGCUACAAGAUCCUCUUAAGGGGGUUGUGGAAUAUUGGCAUUUUUGGAUGUGUAAACCCCUACACGUGAUUCACAAGCUAAACCAAGAGAUUUCAAAUAGUAAUCCAGAAUGACAAAACAUUCUAGAAACUCUUGUGGUCUUUCUGAGUUCUUUGCAGCAGAAAAAUUGCUCUAUCAUUUUUCCAUAGCCAAAAAUGAGUGAAAGAUAAGAGCUAGCAAUUUCUCAGGGCUGUGCCUUGAGUCUAACAAGGUUGAGAACCACUGGAUUAGCUGUUCAGUUGCAAUACCAGUAUUUCUCUGUAUUUUGGAGGGAACACCACAUAGAUUUAUAUCUAUUGUACUGAUCAGAAGUAAACAUGGAGAAAGUGAAAAAGAUGGCAGAUGCAGGUGGAAAAAGAAGAGUGCUGGAGUAAAGGAAACAGAAGAAAGUGGAAGUGAUACAUGUAACCAACGGACACCAAAAAGAAAAACAACGCAGUUUAUUUCUGUCAUUGUCUUUGGCAGUGCAUCGAUUGGAGGAUGACAGUCUUUCAGUAAAUAGGGAAGUCACCAGUGAGUCCACAGAUGACCGAAGAGGCUGAUCCAAGAUCUGCUUGUUCGAAUGCAGACAUGGCAAAUAUUUCUGGGAGGGAGGAGUAGAUCCUGGUGAUGUUUGGUUACAGUUCUUCCCUUUUGUUUCUCUUGUUCAUCUACCUCCAUAGUGAGGUGAGUUUGCCCAAAAUACUCAAUGACUUAUCAUAUAUCACAGCACCAUUUGGGAUGAUUUGGUUCUUGAGUCUCCUGGGUAUUGAUUUAAUAAUAUUGCAUUUCUUCAGAUUGGCCUACAUGAUGUCCUUGAAUCUCUUCUUUUGCUAUCUCUACAGCAAAAACCAUUGGUGAGUUGAGAGUACAGGACCUGUUUUGGAAGCUGGUUGUCAGGCAUCCUUAUGACAUGUCUUGUCCAACGGAGCUGGUGCUAUAUAAAUAUGGCUUCAGUGCUGGUGGUGUUUGAUUCAGCUAAAACACUGGUGUUUGUUCUUUUGUCCUUCCAUUUGAUAUGGAGGAUUUCCCUAAGCUAUCACUGAUGGUAACAUUACAAAUUUUUCAGGUGUUUCUGAUAUGUCACCCAAGUUUCACACCCAAACAACAGGGUAGGAAUAACAACAGGCUGGUAGAUGAGAAGUUUGGUUUGAGUCCUGAUGUCAUGAACAUCAGAUACAAUUUUGGAGAUGUCCAAAGGCAGCACUGGCAGAUUUUAUCUGGUGUUUAUAUGACUGUCUAUAUUUUUUUUUUAAAAGAUGGCUGCUCACAUAGGGAAAUGCUCAACAUUCUCCAAAGAUUGCUUGCUUUCUAAUUGCAAUCCUGUUGGUUUGGGGUGGGUUGGUAAAGUAUCUUGGUUUUUGUGAAGUUGACAGUGAGUCCAAGACUUUCAUGUGCUACACAGAAGUUGAAGUGCCCUGGAGCCCUCCAUUUCAGUGGGCGCAUAUAACACAAACAUCAAUAUAUUGAAGAUCAGUAAUGGAGGAGUUGUUUAUCUUGGAUUUGGAAUAUUAUAUGCUGGCAUUAAAGAGAUUCCUAUCCAUGCAAUACUGGAUUCUGAUUCCAAAUGGGGGUCUAUCACCAAUGAGAUAUGAAAUAGCUAUGAUAUAUAUAGAAAAGGGUGUUGGUGUGAUCAUACUUCUUUGCUUGACUCCAGUUGUAAUACUGAAGGGGUCUGUUUCUAAGUCAUCAUUUAGGAUGGUUGCUUUCAUGUCAUCAUGAAGAAGUCUGAUAAUGGUGACGAAUUUUGGCGGGCAUCCAAAUCUCAUCAGGAUCAUCAGUGGGACUUAAAUCGGGCCAAUGAAGAACAUAUUAAAAUAUUGGUGUUGCUCAUGGUACUUCUCCUGCAGUUGUCUAGCAACAGAGAUCAUAUCUACUGUACACAUUGGGACAUGAUAGAAUCUCUUCGGUAAGUCUACUGAGGAGAAUGCAGGCAAGGAUCUUCCCAGCUUUGAGAGGAGUGCAAUGCCAUGAUAAUUGCUGCAAUCUGGUCUGUCUCCUUUCUUGAAUGAUUCUGGAGCCUCUUGGGUCAUUGGGAAUCUGUUCAUGUUUCCAGAUUUUUAUAAUAUUGACAUGCAGUUGGUAAAAGAGCUUCUUUCUACAUUGCUUAUACAUUUCACCUGGUAUUCUAUCAGGACCACAUUUGCUGUUCUUUAUCUGCUUAAUGGCUUUCAAAGCCUCUUGAUAAAUUGGUGGCUCUGCAAGGUACUUCUUAAUGGGCUGUAGUCUACAAUGACUCAUUGGGAAUGGCUUAGGUGGUAUUGUCUUUGACAUUAGAAUCUCAAUUCAGGAGCACUUGAAAGUGCUCCUUCCACUAGACAUUGAUGAUGGAGCUGUCUUUCAAGGAGUGCUGUUCCAUCCUUGGACCUCAGAGGAACAGUUCCUUGUAUGCUUGGCCCAGAGAUAGCUUUGGCUGUCCUGAAGAAACUAUGGGUGCUGUGGCUGUCAUUUUGAAUGUCUUUUGUUUCCACCAGUUGCUCUCUUUUCCUUCCACCAGUUCUUUCACUCUCAAAUUUUCCUCUGGGUCUCAGUUUUAAUGUGGUGAUAGUGUCUUGCUCCUUUUUGGACUUGAUGUAAUUCUGACAGGCUUUGAAUGCUCUCCUUUUUUGUCAGUUAGAACUUGAAUUUCCUUAUCAUUCUCAUUGUACCAGUCCUGAUGUUUCUUUGCAGAGAAACCUAGAGAUUCUUUCCUUGAGGCUGUCCCAGUGAUCAAUAGUGUCAUAGUGCCCCCAAGAUCCUCAGGGGGCUUGGUGAGUUUUUCAUUGUAGCAGCAUUAAAAAAAUGGACCCACCUGAAAGAAUGGGAAGGGCUGCCCCGCAGAGACACAGAGUUUGUCCCAGCGGGGACACUGUAGGCUCUGAGGGCAAGUGAAGCUGUUUGGAGGCAGCCCUGUUGGAAGUGGGAGGGGUGACGUAACCUCAGCAAAGUUUUGAAAUAGAGCCGUUAGCAAAAGCCCGGGAAGGGCCCUGGCCUGAGAUUGGCUGAGAGGCUUGGAUAAAAGGGGGGAGCAGUUUUCCCGCCGGGGGGAACAAGAGAGAGAGAGGGCCUGAGGGGCAGGCUGGAGACCAGAGAGAGAGUCUCAACACAGUGGUCCCUCAGAGAGCCCCUGGCAGAGCCCUGCAGAAGCAGCAGCAGCAGCGGAGGCUGCACCGGGAGUGAUACAGUAUCUAGUUCCUCUCUCAGGCCGGGGAGCACUGCCUCGGCAGGACCAGAGAGGGGCUGCUUGUGUGGAGACUCCGAGCCUGGGAAGACCCGCCUGCAGCCCCGUGUGACUGGGGACUGCAGAGGAAGAGCUGCCACCUGCUGCCCAGAGACCUCUGGAGCACGGAGAGGGACACCAGCACCAGAGAGUGCCCAUGGACCCUGCAAAGAGACACAGACAGUUCUGCUCCCUGAGACACCCCGCCAGGGGCAGUGCACACAGGAUCCCCAGUACACCGUGUGCAAGGUUCACACUGGCCGUGUGUUCUACAUACAGCACUUCCUUGUAGGGCUGGAUCAGAACCAGCAAUCUAGAGAUGUGCUAAACUUCUGGAAGACCAAGAACAUCACAGCCCAUUCUGCAGAGCUUCAAAAAUGAGAACAACAGGAAUACACAAUUCAUUCUCUUACACUGCUUCAAAGCCAUUACUAAUCUACGUGAAAAUGUACUGAUUUUGCACAAUGGUUCCAUAUGUACUCCACAGAACCCAGGAGGCAAAACUUUUUCUGGGAGAUCAGAUCUCUCUGUUAAAUGUGUGCUACAAUCAACUCAAAUGUCAUUGUCAGAAUAUCCCAAUAUGAAGGACUUCAGAAAAAUAAAAUGCAAACACCAAAAGCAUGUCUCAAUAUAAAGGGAUUUUUAAACUAGCCAAUGGAUGAUUUGUUACAGUUUAACAUACCUAAUCAUAAAUAUUAUAAAGCAUUUUUGUCCUUAUUCUCAUUCUGCUUUCUAGCUGAAAUGGUGGAACAAACAUUGUUACCCCUUAUGCCAUAAUUCUUCCUUUUCACAUAGUUUGCAAACCAGUCUCUCAGGCUCCAGCAACCACCCUGCAGGCAAUGUCUGGAGAAACUGUACAUUACUGUAAUUCUGCAUAAAAGCAAAGUCAAUGAUAAAAUGGAAAGGGAGGAGUGGAAUGAGGGAGAUCAAGCCUGCUGAACAGUUGAUUUAUUAGCAUAUAACACUGAGCACUUUCUUUUCUAAAAAAUGGUCCACAAGGUCUGUUUUUGAUAACUUUACCCAGAAAAGAGAAUUGACAUAUAGGGAUAAAUUUUCAAAGCAUUGCACAAGGUUUUAACAACAUGAUUCCCAUUGACAUUAAUGAGUCACAUGGCUGAAAUCCUGCACGGUGCUUUGAAAAUAUACCCUACAGCUUUUUAAGCCCUCCUUUGGGAAACUGGAGCACUUGCCUCCUAACUAACCUUUGAAUUGUGAGUCAAGAUUACAUAUAUAGUCCCAGAUUCUCACCAGCACUACUAGGCUUUGUGCCAUACUAUGAAAGGAUCACCUCAGCAUAGAAGAUUCUUGUGAAUAAGUAGAGCUGUUCCAAGGUCAGCCCUUCUCCCCAGUGUGAGGGGGUGUGGUUAGGGAAUGAGGCUUGGUUGAAACUUCCCUCUUUUUUCCCCACUUUUUGAAAACCCCACUUGCUAUAACCACCCCUCCAGGCCAUUGGCAGCUGGCAUAAAUUAAAAGCAGUUUUCAGGCUGCUGUUAAUUAUGGAGAGACUGGAUUGGCACAAUCUACAGAGUAUCAAGACUACCAAGCCCCGUCUCUUGAGUUACACUCCUACCUUCAGUAGAUUAAGAGUUGAAGGCCAUUUUAGAGAAGUGAACAAACCUAAGGCUUGUACAAUAAUAGCCCAUUCAAGUCCUAAGAAUUUUCUUCAAUUGUAGUAUUUGGGAUUUUUUGUUUUUUUUUGAGGAAGAUAGUAGUAGUUCAUAUAUUUAAGUGAGUUGUGACUUGCACAUAUAAGAAAUCUUUACUCAUAAUGAUGUUAGAGAAGGAAGGAUCCUUCACUUCAUCAAGCUCUCACUACAGUAAGAUGAGCAUACUUAUGCAACUUUUUUUCCAACUUUUUCCCUUUCCUAAUCCAACUGCAUAUAUUUGUUUUGGAAAGCUUAAUGUUUUGAAAUUUAGAAUAAAAUACGAAAAAUAAAUGCACACAUUGGACCAAAUCCAUUCUUGGCAUGACUUCACUGAAGUGAAAUGAAUUAAAACCAAAAUCAAUUUAGCCUAAUAUAUGAAAAAGCAAUUCUGAAUACCAUUCAUAUUAUCCCCCACCUCCCCCCAAAGUCUGGAUGUCUCAAAAAAAAAAAAAUCCCUGAAAUUUCAGGCUCUGGUAAUCAGCAGAUUUUCUUGAAAAGUGUCUGUUUUGAUAAAUUUGAAACUAUAUGGUUGCAAAAAUAAUUAUGAAUAUUUUCAGUUGUGCAGCAGAAAGAUGGUUGCUACUGCCUAAAGGUGGAUGUAGUACAGUGUGUGCAAAGACAGUUGCCUGCUGGUAAACUCCAUGAUCCAGUAGUUCCAGUAGAAACAUGACAAAGUUAAUCAUAGUUGCAGAGAGGUGGUUAGCUGCAUGGUACAAGUGUUCAUGGAUCUUGUCCAUCCCAUAAACACAGAAAUGGUAUAAGUUUGGUGGAAGAAACUGGCAUUAGAUAAAUGAUGCUAAAUAUAUUGCAUGGGUAUUAGCUCUACACAUCUCCGAAUGCUGGUCAGCUUUUGACCUGCUAAUACCACUAAGUUAAAGAAGUGGAGACUUAAAAUAUUCUUUAAAAAUAAAUAAACCACCAGCAAGUUACAGGCAAAAAAGCUAUAUUGUGCUGAGAUUGCACUGCAACCUCCUGUGCAUAUAAAUGGAAACUCAGUUUAAUGAUGUGUUUUCUUAAAGACACUUGAAGAAAAACAGAUGUUUUAUUAGAGGUGAAAUUGUAUAAUCAUAUAAUUAAACCUUAAUGCAUAUAUGCACUAUAGGCCUGAGUUAAUGUUGAACAUUCAAAAUUACCUUGUUUUUGGACUCCUGAUAGUGAAAUGCAAAAGACACUAUAGUGGGUAUGUAGUUUACUAAUAAAAUAUUGUGGCGGUGAGGUGCCCACACAGGCUCUCGAGGGAGAGAGAAGAGAGCCCGUGGACCCCAGACCCCAAGAGCAAGCCCCCAGAGGGACGUCCGUACCUUGAGGAG